AAAAAUGGACACCUGCCCCAUGCAACAAGGAUAGUUGCAAAUAAAAUUUAAUUGGAGUGUUAAGGACGAAGGACAAAGGAAACCAAAGAUAGCGCAACACUCGAAACUCUUCCUCGAAAUAAUUAUAAUUCCCAAUUGAUCACAAAACGGAACAAUUACCCAAAGUUCCCUUAUCAAUCGAUUUAAAGUAAACAUGCAACUCAAUGUAAUCAGUUAUUAAAGAAAACACAUGAAAUUAAAUCAAUAUAUUGUAUAUUCAGGAAUUGAUAUAUUAGUGAAUAACUAGCGAAAACGAAGAGAAAUUGGAA
rnacentral:sRNA from 1 species